UCUAACGUAAAAUCGGUUCAAAGGUGUCAAUUAAUUGAACUUUUAGGAGGUGCUAAAAUUACUUAAGCCAAAACGUGCCAAUCGCUCGAAAUUCAGAUAAAAAUCCACGAUGCGAUUCAAUUUCUCCACCCACUCGGCGGCGCCCACCACAACAACAACCACGCAGGCAAAUGGCGGCGAUAAGGCAGCCCAACCGCUGAAGAAGGCCAUCGAAGCGGAUCCCGAUUCCCUGGACAGUGUGAUCAGCAAUCCGCAAUCCUAUCCCAUAACCAUAGUGCCCAAUCGGCCGACCAGCUUCUAUGGCCUAUCCCCAAAUGGCAAGGCGAGCGGCUUUCCGCGAUCCCAACCGAGCUGCAGAUCUCGCAAUUUCCGGCCUGGCAGCAUGAGGAGAGUUCGCCGGCGAGCGGUUUUCAAGAAUGGAGACUGCAAUGUGGUGCAGAAGCACCUCCAAAGACGCAGGGUUCGCUUCCUGCAGGAUAUGUACACCACCAUGGUGGAUUGGCAGUGGCGGUGGACCCUCCUGGCCUUCGCCCUCAGCUUCAUCCUCUCAUGGCUCUUCUUCGCGCUCAUCUGGUGGCUAAUAGUCUACACACACGGAGAUUUGGAGGAGCCUCACAUGCCCGAUAACCAAGAGGAAUCUGGCUGGGCGCCCUGUGUCUCUGCCAUCGAUGGCUUCACUUCCUGCUUUCUGUUCUCCAUCGAAACGCAGCACACAAUUGGCUACGGAGUGAGGACCACUUCCCCCGAGUGUCCAGAGGCCAUCUUCAUGAUGUGCUUCCAGUCCAUCUACGGCGUGAUGUCAUCCGCCUUUAUGGCCGGCAUUGUUUUUGCCAAGAUGACGAGGGCUAAGCAAAGGGCUCAGACUCUGUUGUUCUCCAAACACGCGGUUAUUUGCCAGCGGGAUGGCUGCCUUUCCCUGAUGUUCCGGGUGGGCGACAUGCGGAAAUCCCACAUCAUUGGAGCCGGCGUGAGGGCCCAGUUGAUAAGGACGAAGAGCACCAAGGAGGGCGAGGUGAUGACACAGUACUUCACAGAACUGGAGAUCGGCACCGAUGACUCCGGCUCCGAUUUGUUCUUCAUCUGGCCCAUGGUCAUCGAGCACAAGAUCGACGAGAAUUCACCGCUGUACAAUCUAAAUGCCACAGAUAUGCUGCAGGACAAAUUUGAAAUCGUGGUGAUCCUAGAGGGCACCGUGGAGUCCACUGGCCAGAGCACUCAGGCCAGAUCCAGCUACAUAAACACCGAGAUCCUGUGGGGCCAUCGCUUCGAUCCGGUGGUGCUGUACAACAAGGAUCUGCAGGCCUACGAGAUAGACUAUGGUCGUUUCAACGAAACCACUCAGGUGGACACUCCACUGUGCAGUGCCCGGGAGUUGAACGAGAUCUACAAGAUACAGGAGGGAUUCCGCACACCAGCAGAAACCACCUUCACCAUGCGUCAACUGUCCCACAAUCAUUCCGAUCAGGCCUCCUAGGAGGGUCCAAUGUUUCGUCCUCCGUGUUGCUAUAGUUUGUAAUCGUUUUUGUCCCAUCUUCCCCCUCGCUCCAAUCCAAGUGCUCCUGCAGUUCCGGCUAUCAGACACCUGGAAGGCAGAGCCGCCUGCGCUGGCAGCUCUCGGUGCCCUUGUAGUGCUGCUCCCCGACUAUCCACACACUUGGGAGCACCCAAGUUCCCCUACGAAAAUAAGUUAAUAAACGCUUUAGUUUGAGUCUACA